GGCUCCAUAGUUUAGUGGUUAGCACUUCUGCUUUAUACACAGAAGGUCCUGGGUUCCUGGGUUCGCACCCCAGGUGGAUCCA
rnacentral:tRNA from 1 species